AUGUCGAUCGUGAGGCGGAGUAACGUGUUCGAUCCCUUCGCCGACCUCUGGGCGGACCCCUUCGACACCUUCCGCUCCAUCGUCCCGGCGAUCUCAGGCGGCAACAGCGAGACGGCGGCGUUCGCCAACGCCCACGUGGACUGGAAGGAGACCCCCGAGGCGCACGUCUUCAAGGCAGAUCUUCCAGGGGUGAAAAAGGAGGAGGUCAAGGUGGAAGUGGAGGACGGCAACGUGCUCGUCGUCAGCGGCGAGCGCACAAAAGAGAAGGAGGACAAGAACGACAAGUGGCACCGCGUGGAGCGCAGCAGCGGCAAGUUCGUGCGGCACUUCCGCCUGCCGGAGGACGCCAAGGUGGAGGAGGUGAAGGCCGGGCUGGAGAACGGCGUGCUCACCGUCACCGUGCCCAAAGCAGAGGUCAAGAAGCCCCAGGUGAAGGCCAUCAAGAUCUCCGGCUAA
rnacentral:rRNA from 1 species